rnacentral:lncRNA from 1 species
GCAAAGUUCAGUGACUAAGGGGUAAUUAACCGCUCGAAAUCACAUAAAGAAGAUCCUACUUCGGAUAAUGAGGAAAUCUAAGCCUGCAGAAAGGAACAAUAUAGUGCAGCCACAAAUAGUUUACUCAUUUGGCGAUCAUUAUGACUUCAGAAAGAAGCUUAAAAUAUUGAACCUUCUUACUGGGUAUCUAGUGUUCUCACUAUUUUUCUUCUCUAUUCUUAAAAUUUAUUCAACAUUCCGCCAUGAAUGGCCAAAUCAAGUUAAUUGGAGCACAACAAGCAUUGAUGAUCUGAAGAUAUAUUUAUUUGAUCAACAAACUUGGUAGAAUUCGGUAGCAAGGUUCUGGAUUUGCAACACCAGCUGAGUUGUCAUCACUUCUAUCCUGUACUUCAUUUCUGUUGGAAGAGAAAUAAGGAAUAAAAAUAUUGCUUUGCAUGAGCAUAAUCAAAGAUUGAGCAGAAUAAACUUGUGAUUACCGUCUGGUAAUUACCAUGUUUCCAAUCCUGUUUUGAGCUUUAGUAUCAUUCAUCAGUUUCUCGACUUCCAGAAGGGACGAUGGAACUGCUUUUGCAGGUCUCCGCUCAAUGGAAUUUUACAUUUUAAUUGUUAUCUUUGCAAUGGAGUAGAUUCUCUUAUGAAACACGAUUAAUUUCUUCUUUAUUUUUUUACUUACCCUGGUAUGUCAUAAAGGGAAAUUAAUGCCACAAAUUUCUUGUUGGAACACGUGCUCACUGCAUUAUCAUUGGUUAAUAAACGAUUAAGUUUCAGAAUAUCACUUGCC